AACAGGGUGAUGUGGUGGUUUGGACAUUGGACUAUGACUUUGAAGACCAGGGUUCGAGUCCCUGCUCAGCCA